ensembl:lncRNA
GGGGGACAAUAUUUAGCGUAGCUCAAAUGUAGUUUUUUCUACUCUUAGUACCACUUUUUUGAUUUUGUGUUACUCCGUCACUGUUCUGCUCUUAACUUCCAAGAGCCCUUUCCAGUCCACAAAAAUAGGAAGGAAAAAGGCAGGAGACAAAGUUUUGGUGAGAAAAAGAGGGGCGCCUGGGUGGCCCAGUCGGUUGAGCGUCUGACUUCGGCUCAGGUCAGGAUCUCGCAGUCUGUGAGUUCGAGCCCCAGGUCGGGCUCUGUGCUGACAGCUCAGAGCCAGGAGCCUGUUUCGGAUUCUGUGUCUCCUUCUCUCUCUCUGCCCCUCCCCCGCUCAUGCUCUGUCUCUCUCUGUGUCAAAAAUAAAAAUAAACAUUAAAAAAAAAAUUAAAAAAAAAAGAAUGUUUAUAUUUAAGACCCACAUUUUUCUCUCCGGACCAUUGCUUCAGCUGUGUGUUUUACUAGAGGAAGUGAAGAAAAGAAAGAGAUGUGCGUGCAGGUGAGAACAGAGCAAUUCCGAAAUUCUCAGUGACACAGUCUAUUUUCUGACACUAUAAUUUUGCUUGGUGUUUAUUAAGAAGGUAGAUCGCUGAACUUGGCCUCUGCAUGCGUAGAUCACGCCGUAAGAGUCGCUUCUGUGAAGUUCCGUGUGAGAUGCACCGCACACGGUGAUUGUGCUUUAUUUGUUCAGUAGUGCCUGAAGAAGUGACUAAUGCUAGUCUCCACGUUCCAGAUCCUUCCAAGGAGAAGAAAUUCCAAGAGAGCUACAGUCUCAAGAGAACCGAUUACCAAGAACUCAUCUUUGGCAACAGAACAGUGGAUUACAUUCAACAAAGCAUAAUACAACAAUGGGAGAAAAAUGUAACACUAUACAUGAAUAUAUGUAAUAAUACCUCAAAUGAGCAUCUCAGUUUCAAAAAGAUGACAGAAGACACAUUACACGAGCUGAACAACUUCACUGCAAAAUACUGUGAAGACUUAAAGGAGGAGGAAAAUUAUGUUGGAUUUCAUUUAUGCUUGGAUUCGUGGAUGUGACAUGAAGAUAGCAGAAGCAAACUGGUGCAGCCGCUCCGGAAACAGUGUGGAGGUUCCUCAAAAAAUUAAAAAUAGAUCUACACUAUGACCCAGCAAUAACACUGCUAGGAAUUUACCCAAGGGAUACAGGAGGGCUGAUGCAUAGGGGCACUUGUACCCCAAUGUUUAUAGCAGCACUUUCAACAAUAGCCAAAUGAUGGAAAGAGCCUAAAUGUCCAUCAACUGAUGAAUGGAUAAAGAAGCUGUGGUUUAUAUACACAAUGGAACACUACUUGGCAAUGAGAUAGAAUGAAUGAAUAUGGCCUUUUGUAGCAAAGUGGAUGGGACUGGAGAGUGUUAUGCUAAGUGAAAUAAGUCAGACAGAGAAAAGACAGAUACCAUAUGUUUUCACUCUUAUGUGGAUCCUGAGAAACUUAACAGAAGACCAUGGGGGAGGGGAAGAAAACAAAAUGGUUAGAGAGGGAGGGAGCCAAAAUAUAAGAGACUCCUAAAAACUGAGAACAAACUGAGGGUUUAUGGGGGGUGGGAGGGAGGGGUGGGUGGGUGAUGGGUAUUGAGGAGGGCACCGGUUGGGAUGAGCACUGGGUGUUGUAUGGAAAACAAUUUGACAAUAAAUUUCAUGAUAAAAAAAAUUAAUAAAAAAAU